CCCGCCGGCGACCGGCGCACGGGUGAGUAACACGUAUGAAACCUGCCCGUAGCAGGGGGAUAAGCGGAAGAAAUUCCGUCUAAUACCGCGUAACAACCCAUGGAGGCAUCUCUGUGGGUUUAAAGGAAGCGAUUCCGGCUACGGAUGGUCAUGCGUCACAUUAGCUUGUUGGCGGGGUAACGGCCCACCAAGGCGACGAUGCGUAGGGGUUCUGAGAGGAAGGUCCCCCACACUGGUACUGAGACACGGACCAGACUCCUACGGAAGGCAGCAG
rnacentral:rRNA from 1 species